rnacentral:rRNA from 1 species
GCAUAUCAAUAAGCGGAGGAAAAGAAAAUAACAGUGAUUCCUCUAGUAACUGCGAGUGAAGAGGGAAAAGCUCAAAUUUUAAAUCUGUUAGGUUUACCUAACCGAGUUGUAAUUUGAAGAAGCGUUUUUUGCGAAUUUGGUUAGUCCAAAUCCUUUGGAAUAAGGUAUCAUGGAGGGUGAGAAUCCCGUUCGGUUAACCAAAGCGCUUUACGAUACGCUUUCAAAGAGUCAAGUUGUUUGGGAUUGCAGCUUAAAAUGGGAGGUAAAUUUCUCCUAAGGCUAAAUAUUGGCGAGAGACCGAUAGCGAACAAGUACCGUGAGGGAAAGAUGAAAAGAACUUUGAAAAGAGAGUUAAACAGUACGUGAAAUUGUUGAAAGGGAAACGAUUAAAGUCAGUCGUACCUACGAGUAAUCAACCUACUCGAGUGCGAUUUUGUGGGUAUGUUAGAGCUUAAAAACCUUCAUGCUUACAAAUUGGUGCUCUUUGGGCGUACUUUCUCGUAUGGUAGGUUAACAUCAAUUUCGAUCGUUAUAAAAUGACUGGAGGAAUGUAGCUUCGAUCUCGGUUGAAGUGUUAUAGCCUUUGGUAGAUGUAAUGAUUGGGAUUGAGGAUUGCAACGGAUACCCUCUGGGCUAUUCGUCUGAUCUCUGGAAGUUACCUUGGUGUCGAAAGCGUGCUUACGAUAUUAAGGUUGACGGCCAAUAGGUUAGAACGUGAUUAAAUUCGUUAAGGAUGUUGACGUAAUGGCUUUAAACGAC